ACUGCCUGAUGCUUUUCAAAUGUAUCUGAAUCAGAAUCGAACACCCACUUUAUGCAUAGCUCCCUAAUCAGGAAGUUAUUCUUCCCAUCAAAGCAACUGGAAAGAAAAAAGAUAAAACAAUGAAGGGAGGAGAAAACACAAAAGUUCAAGAAGAGCAGAAUGUUCCGGCAAGGAGAAAAAGCUGGGAAAAGUCACCAAUGAAUGCCAGGGUUCACCACUAUCUUAGGAAUAUCAUGAAUAAAGCGUUAGAUUGGGUGUGCCCUAACUGAUGGUCACAAGCAUGAUACUAAUUAUCAGGGUGAACAAAGCAGGGGAGUAAGAGCAUCAGUAACUGUGAAACUCUAGGAGUUUGUCUUCAUUCUUUCAGUGAUAGAAUAUCUAGCAUUUGUAUUUCGUACAUCAUACACUUGAGUUAGUAUCUGUGGAAAGGAUAAAUACAUAAGGAAAAGAGAUGCAGGAAGCUGCAGAGACACUGGCCAUUUAUCUGAGAAGUGCCCAAUGAGGCAUCACCGGAUAAGCACACGUCGGGUCGUUCUCCUGCUUCAGUCUGUGGCGUUGACAUUAUCAAUGCUAUGGAUGCCUCAAGGCUCUCAUAAAAAUACAUGGCUUCAGCAAUACGCAUGCAGUUAUCUCAGUUUAAAGGAAAUGGGUUCUGCUCCCUGCUUAAUAAGAAAUCCUGCUUACUUCUCCAGCUUUUGAAGCACAGAUUAUUUUUCUUCUCUUCAUCAUAUAAAAAUGGAAAUUAUCAAAACAAAACAUCAUCAAAACAAAACAUCAUCAAAAACAGGUUGCUCUCUGAGUAAAGGUUUUAUGUUUGUUUGGGAUAGAAUCUCAUUCUGUCACCCAGGCCAGAGAGCACUGACAUUAUCAUGGCUCACUGCAACCUCAAACUCCCAAGCUCAAGCGAUCCUCCCACCUCAGCCUCCCAAGUAGCUGGGACCACAG
rnacentral:lncRNA from 10 species